rnacentral:misc_RNA from 1 species
UUCGUUUUGUGACUUAGAAGAAAAAAAUCCUCGACUGACUUGCCCCUCUUCUUAGAUAUCAAUGCAUAUGAAUAAGAACAUUUAAUACCUACAUUGUGAUCUUUUUACUCCCCCCUUUUUUGAAUAAUCACGUCUUGAACUAAGGGAAAGAGAUUCUGAGACGACGAUUUUUGCCAUUUCUCUCUCCGAAAGAUUAGUAAUACAUUUCAUAUUCCUGAACCUGCCUGGAAUAUUGGAAUAAUCUCUGAAUAUCCAUCAAAUCCUCCAAUAAUCAAAUUCACGGAUCAACAUGGGGAAUCGGGAUGAAGAGUAUGACUAUCUUUUUAAGGUCGUUCUUAUUGGUGACUCCGGUGUCGGAAAAAGUAAUUUACUCUCACGGUUUACACGUAACGAAUUCAAUUUGGAGAGCAAAUCCACCAUAGGUGUUGAAUUUGCUACCAGGAGUAUACAGGUUGAUGGAAAAACUGUCAAAGCUCAGAUUUGGGACACUGCUGGUCAGGAAAGAUACCGUGCUAUUACAUCUGCGUACUAUCGAGGUGCAGUCGGAGCUUUACUUGUGUAUGAUAUUGCUAAACAUUUAACGUACGAAAACGUGGAUAGGUGGUUGAGAGAAUUAAGAGAUCACGCGGAUUCUAAUAUUGUGAUCAUGUUGGUGGGAAAUAAAUGUGAUCUGCGUCAUUUGAGAGCCGUUCCCACAGAUGAAGCUAAACAUUUUGCUGAACAAAAUAAUCUUUCCUUUAUUGAAACUUCGGCUUUGGAUUCUACAAAUGUCGAAACUGCUUUUCAUAACAUUCUCACAGAAAUAUAUCGAAUCGUGAGUCAAAGACAACUUCGUGAACCGGCCGAGGAUGAGGUUACAAUCCGACCUAAUAAUGUAGAAACAAUUAACGUUAAACCAACAGUUAGCACCGAAAAUGUCAGGCGACAAUGUUGCAAUUCUUAAAAAAUUAAAAGAAUAGAAAAUACAAUAUCUCUUAAUUAUAAUUUAUUCCUAUAUUGUAUAAACUUCAUAUUCCUUUAGAAAAAAACUGCUGUUAAUUUGUUUUAAAAAAAGAAAAAGAAAAAAAUACAGUAUAGUACUACUUAGGUCAACUCAUUUUGUUUAUCAACAUACAUGUGUACAUAAACUCUGCUGCUCCAAAUCAAUUGAAGGCAAAUCCAUUUAGUGUCUCAGUCAACACUUUUUUCUUAUUAUGCACAUAUCUCUGUAUCACUACAUAGGACUACAUACUACUUAACUAUAACAUGGGUCAGAUGAGUGUAAUUAAAUAAGAUUUAAUCCUUCUUUUUUGAGGCAUAAACAAUUAACUAAUUAGCUAUGUGUGAGAACACUAUAGUGCAUCAUAAGAAUAAGCAUAAUUCGUUAUCAGUGUACAUACUCUUGUAUACGUAUUAAAAUUAUGAUUAAUUAUGUUUGUUGAUGAUCUACAUUAUAAUUAGUCGAUGUACCUUAAAUCCGUCAUGACUGGUUCUAUUCCCCAAGCAUUGUGAUUGCACCGAAAAGACCGGUUGCAUUUAAAAGAAAUAUAUCGGAUUGUUUCGCAAAAAAGUCUUCCUGAUUCGGGUAAUUCUGGAGCAGGGCCUGAUGAUGGAUCCACCAUUGAUAUUGGUAGUACCGUCACAGAGAAUUCUGGGAAUAAGAAACCCUGUUGUAAUAAUUAAUUUUGCUCUAUCAAUUUUUAAAAAAAAUAUUUAUUUAACACAACGUCCAUUAAGUUAAAAAACCCGGACAAAAAAAUAAGGACAAGAGAUAUAAUUGUGGUUAUUAUCAUUUAAUGAAUAAUUUACAGCAGUAACUAAAGCAUUAAAAAAUUAAUUAAUAAAUAUAAUUUUUUUAUGAGUUAGAAAAAUAUAUUUAUCACUAUAAAACUUCUUGUUACUACUUGUAUUCUUUUAAUUUUUUUCUUCCUGUAUUAAUACCAAUAAACACUAGGAUAUAA